UAGGGAAUCUUCCGCAAUGGGCGAAAGCUUGACGGAGCAACGCCGCGUGAGUGAUGAAGGUCUUCGGAUCGUAAAACUCUGUUAUUAGGGAAGAACAAAUGUGUAAGUAACUAUGCACGUCUUGACGGUACCUAAUCAGAAAGCCACGGCAAACUACGUGCCAGCAGCCGCGGUAAUACGUAGGUGGCAAGCGUUAUCCGGAAUUAUUGGGCGUAACGCGCGCGUAGGCGGUUUUUUAAGUCUGCUGUGAAAGCCCACGGCUCAACCGUGGAGGGUCAGUGGAAACUGGCAAACUUGAGUGCAGAAGAGGCAAGUGGAAUUCCAUGUGUAGCGGUGAAAUGCGCAGAGAUAUGGAGGAACACCAGUGGCGAAGGCGACUUUCUGGUCUGUAACUGACGCUGAUGUGCGAAAGCGUGGGGAUCAAACAGG
rnacentral:rRNA from 1 species